GUGCAAUAGAAGUCUGUUAAGGCUAGUUUGUUUAUAGAGAUUUUCAAGUCUUUUAUUUCAGUUCAGUCUUUUCCUUAGUUGUUCUAGACAUUAUUGAAGAGGGCUGCUGAAGUCUCUAACUUUUAUUGUUGAAUGAUCUGUUUCUACCUUCAGUUCUGCCAGGUUUUUAAAAAUGUAUUUUGGAGUUCUGUUGAUAGGUGCAUAUAUGUUUUGUAGGGACCUGAAAUUGGCCACCCCAAGAUAUGUCUCUUUGGCAUCAGGAUUAUUUGAGGCUGAUUGCUUUUGACAAACUGGGACAGGGAAGGAGGCUCUGAGGAACGGAACUUGCCCUUCGUUAGGACACAUUUACAUUUGUAAGGCUAGGAACUGAUUGCUGCGCUCGCCCAGCUCCAGACAAUCGACUUGCCUCCUGCUACGCCCACCGAGAUAGCAGACCACUACCUGCUGUGUCCAUCAAGCGCUGUGCCGACAGGGCAAUCUUGUGACUAUUGUGGGAGGGACAUGUCAAUCACAUGUGAAACACCCCGUUUGGGGGUAUAUAACCACUCUGUGCACCCCACUUCUUCGGUGCCCUUUCUUCCUUCGGGAAGAAAGGCCCCGGGCCAUGGUUCCUCAUAAAGCUUUGUUUAAUUUUCUCUUGCUAUUCUGUCUCAUGUGAAUUUAAUUCGUUCUCCGGCCAGACGAACCCCCAUUUGGGAAGAGGAAAUGUCUUCCACCCCUACAUUUACAAUUAUUAUAUCUCCUGAUGUAUGGGCUCUUUCAUCACUAUAAAAUGUCCCUCCUUAUCUCUAGUAAUCAUUUUGUUUUGAAGUCUACUUUGCAUGAUAUUAGUACCACAACUUCAGCUGUCUUAUGGUUGCUUUUUGCUUGAUAUAUCUGACAAGUCUGUCUUCCCUGUCAUGUGUGACCACUGAACAAACUCCAACUCUGCUCAGGUGGCUUAGUGGUCAGCUGCUGAUUACACAGAGGUUUAUAUAAUUGAUUGGAGCAAUAGAUCUCCCACCCUUUGUGGAGGGACUCUGUGUGUGUUGAAGCAGGCCUUCACUGCUCAGGCAGUUUACAGUUCUACCUUAGGCUUCACUUCUUGCUUUCACAGCACCUCAGCAUCUCCCGGAGUUGGAGAAAUUAGGACCUUUUUAGAUCUUUCCUGGGCAAGUGCACAGCCUUACACGUGCAUCUGCCUUCCCAGAUUCCCAGGAAUAUGUUGGAGCUUUGCAAAGCCCCAUAUGGACAUCUCUUUCCCCAAAUCUCCCUUUGUAAUUUUGUACAGUCUGGUUUGCCACAGUGUCAUUGCCACCUGUAUUAGUUUGUUAUGGCUGCUAUAACAAAUUACUACAGACUGGGUAGUUUAAAACAACUGAAAUUCAUUCUCUGGCAGUUCUGGAGGUUAGAAGUCUGAAAUCAAGGUGUUGUCAGGGCCUUUAUCCCUCUGAAGUCUCUAGGAAAGAAUCAUUCAUUCCCUCUUCCUGGCAUCUGGUGGUUAAUACAAUCCUUGGCAUUUCUUGGCUUGCAGCUGUGUCACUCCAAUCUCUGCCUCUGUUGUCAUGGGGCCUUCUUACCUCUGUGUGUCUCUUAUUUGUGUCUGUGUUCAAAUUUUUUUCUUCUUAUAAGGACACCAGUCACUGGCUUUAAGUCCCACCCUAAUUCAGUGUGACCUCAUUUUAACUUAAUUACAACCACAACGAUCCUAUUUCCAGAUAAGGUCACAUUCACAGGUACUGGGAAUUAGGACUUAAACACAUGUUUUGGAGGACACAAUUACAGAUAGGUACACAGUGAUAAUUCUCGUUGGCUCUUUGAAAGUUCCAAAUCUGUUCUGCCCCUUCCAGUGACUGCCCGGCGGAUGGCUUUCAUAGCUCCUCUGCUUGCAAUUCUGCUGCUUUUCAAGGCUUCCUCCGGGCUGAGGAGUGGAGACAGGGAAUAGGACAACAGGAGGAGCGGGAGCAGUGGUGACAGUCUCAUUGUCUCCUCAAAUCACACCAAUUAAUUUGCUUCCAUGGGCUUGCUUUAGUGGCAACUUACUCCACC
ensembl:lncRNA